rnacentral:rRNA from 1 species
CGGUUAAGUUAGAAAGGGCGCACGGUGGAUGCCUUGGCACUAGGAGCCGAUGAAGGACGGGACGAACACCGAUAUGCUUCGGGGAGCUGUAAGCAAGCUUUGAUCCGGAGAUUUCCGAAUGGGGAAACCCACCACUCGUAAUGGAGUGGUAUCCAUAUCUGAAUUCAUAGGAUAUGAGAAGGCAGACCCGGGGAACUGAAA